UGGGAGAGAGAUCUAAACCCUAACUUUGAUGGCUACCUCUGAAUAAUGAUUUCUCCUCCUCUCCUCCAGGGGCCAGGGGGUCUGGUUUUAUAGUCCCCUCAAGUGAACGUGAGCCAUUGGAUCAAACCGCCCAGCUCCCGAGCCCGAUAAGCUUCCCGUUCGUUCCCGUGGCUUCUGGAUCCUUCUAGAUUGGGAAAAAUUGCGCGGCACGUAAUUAUCUCAUUGUAAACAUGACAUGUGGGCCUUCUCUCCAUAUUUUCUGAUAACUCCCUGCAGAAAUAGAUAAACACCAAAGCUCGUGGAAUUCUGUCAGAUAAAACCCUAAUUCUAG
rnacentral:lncRNA from 1 species